rfam:Spirochaetes bacterium GWC1_61_12 gwc1_scaffold_7384, whole genome shotgun sequence.
GGAGAGAUGUCCGAGUGGUUUAAGGUCCACGCUUGGAAAGCGUGCGUGCUCACAAGGCACCGGGGGUUCGAAUCCCCCUCUCUCCG